AGAGUUUGAUCAUGGCUCAGAACGAACGCUGGCGGCGUGCCUAAUACAUGCAAGUCGAACGCGAAAGUCCCGCAAGGGGCGAGUAGAGUGGCAAACGGGUGAGUAACGCGUGGGCGACCUACCUUCGAGUGGGGGAUAACCUUCCGAAAGGAGGGCUAAUACCGCAUGACAUCCCGUGUUUGGAUACACGGACAUCAAAGUCGGGGAUCGCAAGACCUGACGCUUGGAGAGGGGCCCGCGUCCGAUUAGCUAGUUGGUGGGGUAACGGCCCACCAAGGCUUCGAUCGGUAUCCGGCCUGAGAGGGCGGACGGACACACUGGGACUGAGACACGGCCCAGACUCCUACGGGAGGCAGCAGUAGGGAAUUGUUCGCAAUGGGCGCAAGCCUGACGACGCAACGCCGCGUGGAGGAUGAAGACCUUCGGGUCGUAAACUCCUUUCGACCGAGAUGAAUACUCGCCGACUUAAUACGUUGGCGAGCUGACAGUAUCGAGGGAAGAAGCCCCGGCUAACUCCGUGCCAGCAGCCGCGGUAAUACGGGGGGGGCAAGCGUUGUUCGGAAUUACUGGGCGUAAAGGGUUCGUAGGUGGCUUGCUAAGUCAGACGUGAAAUCCCUCAGCUUAACUGGGGAACUGCGUCUGAGACUGGUGAGCUUGAGUGCAGGAGAGGAACGCGGAAUUCCAGGUGUAGCGGUGAAAUGCGUAGAUAUCUGGAGGAACACCGGUGGCGAAGGCGGCGUUCUGGACUGCUACUGACACUGAUGAACGAAAGCCAGGGGAGCAAACGGGAUUAGAUACCCUAGUAGUCC
rnacentral:rRNA from 1 species